CCAUCGCGACCCCAGGUCAGGCGGGACUACCCGCUGAGUUUAAGCAUAUCAU
rnacentral:rRNA from 1 species